AUGUAAUGAAGCCAUCAAAACAUAGUUUAUAGAAGAAAGAAGAGGCAGAAAAUUUCUUAAAGGACAUGUGAACUUGGUUCCUCUUUUGGAGGCAUUGGAAUAGGCUUGCAUGCUGAAGGGAAUGAUUCAUUUGAAGGGAGAAACAAGUGCAGACUGAAAGACAGCAAUUGCUGAAGCAAUAUACACAAGUAAGCUGGAAAGGAUGCAAUCUAACGCAGUGGAGAAGGGUUGGCUUCCGCUGAAGAGUUCAUCUGUGAUAAGAGGAGAGAGAACGAAGCAUGUGCUUAGCAAUAAAGGUUACAUAUAUUUGGGAUUUGUAAUUCUUUGUCCUCCAAGAGUUUGGAGAAGCUUGAGUUAAAUGAACAUUUUGUUUUCAUAAAUAUCCAAUGCAGUGAGGGGAAAAUACAAGCUGUUCUGGAGCGGUUGAAAGAAAGCAGAGAAUGUGGAGGAACCUGAACUGAAUCCCACAACCUGAACAAAAAAGUGAGCACAGGCCUGCUGAUAACAAGAGUUCCAGCAGAAGCUGUGGAAGACUGAAAAAUGGCCCCAAAGAUACACAGAUACAUGAGAGAGACAGAAGAAGGAGGAGGAAGAAAAAGAGAAGGAAGAGGAGGAGGAAGAGGAGCAGUGAUGAGGU
rnacentral:lncRNA from 1 species